rnacentral:rRNA from 1 species
GUAAUAGCUCACUGGUCAAGUGGUUCUGCGCCGACAAUGUAGCGGGGCUCAAGCGCACCGCCGAAGCCGUGGCAGCAGCGCGUUGUCGCCCUCCUCCCCCCUGUUGGAUGGGGUGGUGGGUGCGCUGCUGGGUAGGGGAGCGUCCUGCGCGGGGCGAAGCCCGGGGGUGACCCCUGGUGGACCGCGUGGGAGUGAGAAUGCAGGCAUGAGUAACGAAUUCUGCGGUGGGAAUCCGCAGCGCCGAUUGACUAAGGGUUCCAGGGCCAGGUUCAUCCGCCCUGGGUUAGUCGGGUCCUAAGGCGAGGCCGACAGGCGUAGUCGAUGGUCGACCAGUUGAUAUUCUGGUACCGCGCGGCGACCGCCAGUGCCGAUACCGCUGUGCUAACCGCCCGCACCGCCCCCUCCUGCGCUUUCGGGCGCGGGGGUGGGGGGUGUCGCGGGGCCCCGGUGGUGGAGGCAAGCGUGUUGACAGGGGUGACGCAGGAAGGUAGCCGCAAUGCGCCGGUGGUUGUGCGUAUUCAAGGCUGUGGCCCGUCCCCCAGGCAAAUCCGGGGGGCAUGUGGGUGAGGGCUGAGGAGGGACACACGCGUGUGUGGACUUGUGGUGAUCCUAUGCUGCCGAGAAAAACCCCGACGUGAGGGCGCCGCGCGCCCGUACCCCAAACCGACUCAGGUGGUCAGGUAGAGCAUACCGAGGCGUUCGAGUGAAUCAUGGUUAAGGAACUCGGCAAAAUUCCUCCGUAACUUCGGGAUAAGGAGGACCCCUUGGCCUGCCCCCGCCGCGCGCGGGGGCGGGGCCGGGGGGUCGCAGAGAAUAGGGAGAAGCGACUGUUUAUCAAAAACACAGGUGCGUGCGAAGCCGCAAGGCGAUGUAUACGCACUGACGCCUGCCCGGUGCUGGAAGGUCAAGAGGAGCCCUCAGCCCCCUGCGGGGGGCGAAGGGGCGAAUUCAAGCCCCAGUAAACGGCGGUGGUAACUAUAACCAUCCUAAGGUAGCGAAAUUCCUUGUCGGGUAAGUUCCGACCUGCACGAAUGGCGUAACGACUUCUCCGCUGUCUCAACCGUGAACUCGGUGAAAUUGCAGUACGAGUAAAGAUGCUCGUUUCGCGCAGAAGGACGGAAAGACCCCGGGACCUUUACUAUAGCUUGGUAUUGGUGUCCGCUUGUGCUUGUGUAGGAUAGGUGGGAGACUGUGAAGCGGCCGCGCCAGCGGUGGUGGAGUCGUCGUUGAAAUACCAUUCUGGUUCAAGCGGGCGCCUGAACCUGGGCCCGUGAUCCGGGCCGGGGACAGUGCCUGGUGGGUAGUUUAACUGGGGCGGUUGCCUCCUAAAGAGUAACGGAGGCGCUCAAAGGUCCCCUCAGCCUGGUUGGCAAUCAGGUGGCGAGUGCAAGUGCACAAGGGGGCUUGACUGUGAGACCGACGGGUCGAGCAGGUGCGAAAGCAGGAACUAGUGAUCC